rnacentral:rRNA from 1 species
UACGUAGGGUGCGAGCGUUAAUCGGAAUUACUGGGCGUAAAGUGUGCGCAGGCGGCGUCGCAAGUCGAGUGUGAAAGCCCCGGGCUUAACUUGGGAAUUGCGCUCGAAACUACGAUGCUGGAGUGUGGCAGAGGCAGGUGGAAUUCCACGUGUAGCGGUGAAAUGCGUAGAGAUGUGGAGGAACACCAAUGGCGAAGGCAGCCUUCUGGGCCAACACUGACGCUCAUGCACGAAAGCGUGGGGAGCGAACAGG